GAGGGAGAAGAAGAAUAGUGUCCCAAGGGAAGCCCCCCACCCUCCACAUCCCUCUCUUUCUGUCUGAGGUGAUUUUCUCCCCCUUCCCUCAUUGUCCUGGCCAUUAGGAAUGGAGCCAGCCACUCUGCUGAAGGGGAACUGAAUAGGAUGAUUAUACGAGGCUGAAGAUGAAGUUUGUCUUAUGUGGCUAGAGCCAACAUCUAAUCAAAUGUUGUGAUUUGCAGCAGAGUCAGUCAAGGACAAAUUGGAUUAAACAGUUAUGUCAGAUCAAGGGAGGAGCACCAUCGGCAUCAAACAACAGGCUGUUAGAAAGGAAGCAAUGCAACAGCAUCAAGCUUGGCAAGUGGAACCUCCAGGAAACCAAAGCAUUUUGUGCUUUAUAGAUCGACACCACAUCGACCCUUCUGAGGUUUCCUUUUCAUUUUGCAAGAACGAACGCGGAGAGAUUUAUACCUGGGAAUAUCACUUGACACAAAAAUGGAUAGUGGAUAUAAUUAUAUAUAAAAGCUCCCCUGUUACAGAAAAAAAUAAGGUCUUUAAUAACCUAGUUUGUGGGCUAUAGAAGGAAAACAAAGGCAGUAUACUCAUAAGCCAGACAGAGGAGAUGCUUUCUACUAUUGCUAUUGAUUAGUAACUAAGGCAAUGCUCUGAAAAGGUCUGAUAUAAAUGUAAUACAGGGAGUAACUGAAUGAGCUCAUCACAGGAUGCAUGAUCUA
rnacentral:lncRNA from 1 species